GUUUAACCUGUUACAUAGCUAUAUAAGGCAGAUGCCCACUGGGGUGGGGGUGCUUACUUUAUAAACGAUUGCCAAACACCACUUUCUACACAAAAAUAAAGAUUAAGUUAGAUCCUUCACUCCUGUGUGUUUAUUGACACAAGCGCACCGGACACGAACUCACUGUCCUUUGGAGACAACAAUUUCUGGCGACCCAGAUGGGACCCUAGCUGACUGCCUUGCCCGGUCCACCUUUUCGGCUCCGGCAACAACUGUGGACGGCGCGAGGGCCAGGCACCACCGACCUUAUUCGUCGGAGGUCUGACCGUCUCCUGGUUGCCUGACGGAGUCGUGGAGGGGUACAAUGGCGCAACGCUUGAAGGACCAACUUAAUCGGGCGGGGCGAGGGAGGUUUCAACGGACUGGUCCUUCCCAUGGGAACAGCACUGAGAGAGAGUGCAUUUGGCAUCUGCCUUUCACCCUCUUCAACGUGGGGACAUCCUACAACACCUUUGUGGCUACAAGUUCCAGACCUCCAGCAUGACAGCGCUCCAGCACUGUGCCCUGACCUGUCGGCAGUGGAUUGAUAACCGUGUGUCCUUUCAUAUAUUUCGAUGUGAUAUUUUUCUCUGUCUCUCUUAGUAAAGGUGGUUCUUGAUGAA